rnacentral:rRNA from 1 species
CCUGGCUCACCUUUGGGGCUAGCUACAGGCUUAACACAUGCAAGUCGAGGGUUUUCAGGAAGAAAGCUUGCUUUCUUUGCUGGCGACCGGCGCACGGGUGAGUAACACGUAUCCAACCUGCCCUUUACUCGGGGAUAGCCUUUCGAAAGAAAGAUUAAUACCCGAUAGUAUAAUGAUUCCGCAUGGUUUCAUUAUUAAAGGAUUCCGGUAAAGGAUGGGGAUGCGUUCCAUUAGGUUGUUGGUGAGGUAACGGCUCACCAAGCCUUCGAUGGAUAGGGGUUCUGAGAGGAAGGUCCCCCACAUUGGAACUGAGACACGGUCCAAACUCCUACGGGAGGCAGCAGUGAGGAAUAUUGGUCAAUGGGCGCGAGCCUGAACCAGCCAAGUAGCGUGAAGGAUGACUGCCCUAUGGGUUGUAAACUUCUUUUAUAUUAGAAUAAAGUGCAGUAUGUAUACUGUUUUGUAUGUAUAAUAUGAAUAAGGAUCGGCUAACUCCGUGCCAGCAGCCGCGGUAAUACGGAGGAUCCGAGCGUUAUCCGGAUUUAUUGGGUUUAAAGGGAGCGUAGGUGGACUGGUAAGUCAGUUGUGAAAGUUUGCGGCUCAACCGUAAAAUUGCAGUUGAUACUGUCAGUCUUGAGUACAGUAGAGGUGGGCGGAAUUCGUGGUGUAGCGGUGAAAUGCUUAGAUAUCACGAAGAACUCCGAUUGCCAAGGCAGCUCACUGGACUGCAACUGACACUGAUGCUCGAAAGUGUGGGUAUCAAACAGGAUUAGAUACCCUGGUAGUCCACACAGUAAACGAUGAAUACUCGCUGUUUGCGAUAUACAGUAAGCGGCCAAGCGAAAGCAUUAAGUAUUCCACCUGGGGAGUACGCCGGCAACGGUGAAACUCAAAGGAAUUGACGGGGGCCCGCACAAGCGGAGGAACAUGUGGUUUAAUUCGAUGAUACGCGAGGAACCUUACCCGGGCUUAAAUUGCAGUGGAAUGAUGUGGAAACAUGUCAGUGAGCAAUCACCGCUGUGAAGGUGCUGCAUGGUUGUCGUCAGCUCGUGCCGUGAGGUGUCGGCUUAAGUGCCAUAACGAGCGCAACCCUUAUCUUUAGUUACUAACAGGUCAUGCUGAGGACUCUAGAGAGACUGCCGUCGUAAGAUGUGAGGAAGGUGGGGAUGACGUCAAAUCAGCACGGCCCUUACGUCCGGGGCUACACACGUGUUACAAUGGGGGGUACAGAAGGCAGCUACCUGGUGACAGGAUGCUAAUCCCAAAAGCCUCUCUCAGUUCGGAUCGAAGUCUGCAACCCGACUUCGUGAAGCUGGAUUCGCUAGUAAUCGCGCAUCAGCCACGGCGCGGUGAAUACGUUCCCGGGCCUUGUACACACCGCCC